CAUCAGUGGCACCGUUGGAGCUGUGUCUACCCCACGGGUUGGAGGAAACUAUCCCACCUGGAUAUGAAGUCUUGAGCAAGCCACAGGCAUCUGUUUAGACACACACACAAAUCAAGUUUGAAGAGUUAUGAAAAGGAAACCGCUCCCUGCGAUGUCUGUGAUGUGUGUGCCCGCACACGUACACACGCCUGCCUCUCCUCCCAGCCUGCUCAGUCCUGUCCACCUAACCAUCCUCUAGGACCUUCUCCUCAUGUUGGCGAGAGAAUUCUUAGGAGUUGCCUUCCUUUUUACAGACAGUGUCUGACCUGAGCGAUCACAGCUUGUCUGUCUGACCUCAGUGGAGCUUCUUAAACACAGUUGGCCUCUACCUGCCUGGAUGUCAGAAAGGCGGCUGUGAUGAAAAUGGCUUCCACCUUCAUCAAGGACAUAACAAGCACCAGGCAACCAGCAGUGCCCAAGAGAGAGAGGCGGCUCUGUGCUUCAUCUCCACUGACUGGUCAAAAGGGCAGCUACACUCAAGGUGGAAUUUACACAGUGACUAAAACUGAUGCUGCGCACAUUCCUUGAGUCAAACGGACCGCUAACCAUUGUGAGAUGGCAGAAAUGUCGCCUUUCCUCUCCAAACCCCAGUUUCCUGAAUAGUAAAAUGGAAAAGAUACAAACUAACUAACUCGUAGCAGCAUAGGGAGAAAUAAACUCAAAAGCUAACAAAAUGUGAGGUAUUUGCUGUUUCAUUAUUUUUAUUUUAUUUAUUUUAUUAAGAGACAGGAAUGGCCUUGCUCUGUCGCCCAGGAUGGAGUGCAGUGGCGCAAUUGUUACUGGUGGUGAAUCCCUACAGGUCUGCAGCAACCUCGAUUCUUGCCUCCUCAGAAGAAAGAAUUCAAAUGAGGCGCAUAAGGCAGAAGGAGAGAACAAAGCAAGUUUUAGAGCAGGAGUGAAAGUUUAUUAAAAAGUUUUCUGGCAGG
rnacentral:lncRNA from 1 species